rnacentral:rRNA from 1 species
UACGAAGGGGGCAAGCGUUGUUCGGAAUUACUGGGCGUAAAGGGCGCGUAGGCGGUCUAUCAAGUCAGGCGUGAAAUUCCCGGGCUCAACCUGGGGGCUGCGCUUGAUACUGAUGGACUUGAAUGCGGGAGAGGAUAGUGGAAUUCCCAGUGUAGAGGUGAAAUUCGUAGAUAUUGGGAAGAACACCAGUGGCGAAGGCGGCUAUCUGGCCCGUGAUUGACGCUGAGGCGCGAAAGCGUGGGGAGCAAAC